rnacentral:pre_miRNA from 1 species
GAGAGAUGCUGAGCUGUUUUUGCGAUGUGUUCCUAAUAUGUGCUACAGUUAUAUUGGGAACAUUUUGCAUAAAUAGCUUCGUAUCAAUAACA